rnacentral:rRNA from 1 species
UAAAAAAAGUGAAAGGAUAAAACGGGAGGGUGAGCGAGUGUGAUCGAUCGAACGAGCGGCGAAAGGGUUAGGGGGACGGGAGACAGUGGCGGGAGGGUUAGGGAGACGGGAGACAGCGGCGGGAGAGGGAGAGCAGCAGCGGCGUGAGGGUGAGAAGAGCAGCGGCGGGUGAGGGAGAGGGGCAGCGGCCAGCUCUACCCGACGAAACCUACGAAGCGGGGUCGCCGCGCGGCUCCCCGGCCGCUGGAGUUCGGGAGGUUCGAGUGGGUGGUGACGUGGCUGCUGCUGAGUACAGUAGAAGAACUGACUAAAGACGGGCAGGGGAGGGGCGGAACGACGACGGACCACGUUUCGUGAGAAGAAACAAAACUAAGAAAGAAUAGGCACAACACAACAACCCAGAACCUCAUCAGCGUCUGCGCGUCUCCUUCCACCGCGACCUGCACCCCUCGCCGACGCGCGUGUCGAAGUGGAAGUUCCUAGACGACCACCGGUGGCCGAUGAAGUUGCUCCGGUUAAAGUAGCCGCUCCCGCCGAAGCCGUUCCACAUGUUCCCGUUCUAGAGUUUCUGGUUGAGCGUCUACCACCGCCACUUCGUCAACCGGGCCCUCUCACACGUCCCUUCUUCCUCAAGGACCACCUCCACGACUACGAGUGCCACGAGUCGGUGGGGUUGGAGCGGUAGGAGCAGCCGAAGACGCACGUCCCCCCACUCACCGACGACCAGAUGCUCAUGUACGGGAAGCCGUCGGACCUCUCGGUGGAGAAACCAUUAAGAAGAAGAGUCUUAAGAAGUCUGAACGAGAGACAAAAACCAAGUCAAGUAGAGACGUUACGUCAAUUAUAGGUACAACUAUACAUUCAUAACCGAUAGGAAGUAUUACACACACAAUACCAUGUCAAGUCAAACACACCAUUUGGAAGCGUGAUGGCCGUGCGCGAGAGCUUUCAUUAAGCACAGCCAAACCCUUUAGUUUCCCCUUUUCUUUACUUAGUAUCUUCUUCGGUAGAUACCAAGGGGAAAGAGUCAAGACCCUUUCUCCACUGAAACUCUUAAACGGAAAAACCCCAAGUGAAAGCCCUUGGUAGGUACCAACACGACGAGACAGUCUAACAACACGAGACAGUCUAAAACCUCUUUCCCCUCGAGGUUCAAAGACCGUUCCUCUCCCCACGCGUUGACAGGCACGUCAAGGCCCUGUAGCGGUGGUAGCAGUACCUCUUCUGAUAGCUAGGACUCUGGGCCACGGGGAUGUGGUACUUGUACUAGCUCGUGGAGUACGUGCUGUAUGUGAAAUGCCAGCUAGGUUUGUAGUGGAGGUUCCUUGUCCUCGUUUUUCCUCAUCGGCUGCCGACUGGAGCUCGAGAGCUAACCUCACCUCCCUCCGCCAGCCGCUCCCUAAACGCCGGUCGCCCCUUCCUAGGAUCCCUUCCCUCGUCCGUCGGCUACCCCUUUCCGCUGAUGGCCGCUCCCUCGAAGACUAGCGCCGCCCCUUCUCGCUGGUUUCUCCCCUAGACCGAGAGCUAACCUCGCCGCGUCCGUCGGCUGCCCCUUCCUGCUGCCUCUACGCCUGCCGUCUCCUCGGACCGCUUCCCCUCCUCACUUCCUCAGGAGGCGGACGGUUUCCCCUCCUCGCUGCCUCAGGACCGCCUCCCUUCCUCGCUACCUCUUUCUGCUGCUGGACUCGCGCUAAAGGUCAGCCCCCGUCAAAACAUUAAAGUGAUCAAAAGUGGAUCAGCCUUUUCUGGAGCGUCGCUGUUAAUAAAGCUUUGCCUCCCUCAUCUUCGGGCAUCGUUGGUGUAUUUUGAACUUGUUGUUUCAUCUCCUGCAGAUUGAACAAAAACGUCCCGUACAACACUACACUAUACCAGUUCUAUACUACACUAUAUGCAAUAACAUACUCUACUAGUACAAAACAUCUUCAAUGGCCGUUGACCGUCCUCGGAAUACCAACAGCGAAAUAACAUACUUUACGUUUGGCAGUACAUUAACGAAAUGAAAUAGUGAUACGCAAUCGCUAUCAACAUCUUCUUUAUCAACCGCUCUUCUGGUGCUGUGAUGCUACCUCUAGUUCCACAGUUCGGCCACUACUACCUCUAGUACUGCCACGAAACCUCUACCUCUAGUUUCCGUGUUCUACUACUACCGGUAUAGUACAGUGUAUAAAACUAACGUACACUACAGAUAGAAAAUACGUAGAAUAAAAAGAAUCAUGCUGCUAUCGUAAUAUUCUACUAGG